CCUUAUCCUGGUGCUGCCCCUUAUCCUGGUGCUGCCCCUCAUUCGACUGCUACCCCUCAGUCUGUUACUGCCUUUUGGAAUAGCGGGAUUGACAUGGAGGGUGAAUAUUGGGAGGAGGCCACGGAAGCGGGGGUUGACUAUGGUGGGGUGGGGACCACGACCAGCGCCAGAGCCGCCACCGUGGACAGACGCCCACCCAGACCCUCCCCUAGACUUUGUGCUGGUGCGCCCGGAGUUCGCACCUUAAGGGGGGGGUUCUGUCAGAGACAGGUGUGUAUCGUUUGUCCCUGAUUGAGAGUCAUACUAAGGCAGCCAGGGUUUCACUGGUGUUUUGUGGGUGUUUGUUUCCUGUGUCAGUGUUUGGGCCACACAGGACUGUUUUCAGGUUAGUCACGUUUGUAGAGUUUGGUAAUUUGUAGUGUGUGUUGUUUGUUCAUUAAAACAUGAAUACCUACUACUCCGCAUCUUGGAGGAGAACGACUACGACCACCUUAACAAUUGGCUGCACCAGAUCUUAUUUAGGGGCUUCAUAGUAAAGGGGGUGAAAACACGUGCACACACCAAUGUUCUGUUUUUUUUUUUUUAGAUUUUUCUGAAGCACUUUAUUUUUUUAAUUUCACUUCACCAAUAUGGACUAUUUUGUGUAUGUCCAUUACAUGAAAUCCCCCAAAAAUCUAAUGAAAUUACAUGUUGAUAUGCAACAAAAUAGUAAAAACGCCAAGGGGGUGAAUACUUUUGCAAGGCACUGUAUGUUUCAUGAUUAACUGCACAUGGUGUGAUUGUGGUAAUGUACAGGAACUCAAGUCCUUUUGUUCCUCCAACCUAGAAUAACUCACAAACAAAUGACCUCGUGAGAGAAUUCACUUUGGCCAUCAUCAAGCCGUUACCACGGCGGCUCUCAAGGAACCACACUAGACUUUUUGUGAAAACUGAAAAUCGUAUAUCCUGAGGCCGCAUUUAUUGUAGCUGUGAACUUUAAUAAAAAAAUCUGGGGAAAACGCUACCGAAAUCUUAUCAACACAUUGCCUGCAGUGCUUGUUAGGUAGCGGUAGCCAUUGGGAUGGCUACCAAUCCCUCCCCUGCCCUCCCUUCGGCAAAUCAGAUCACAACUCCAUUCUGCUCCUCCCUUCCUAUGGACAGAAACUCAAACAUGAAGUACCCGUGCUAAGGUCUAUUCAACUCUGGUCUGACCAGUCGGAAUCCAUGCUUCAAGAUUGUUUUGAUCACGCAGACUGUAAUAUGUUCCGAGUUUUCUCUGAGAAUAACACUUGAGUUCAUGUGUAUAGGGGAUGUUGCUCCCACUGUGACGAAUGUAAUCUAUCCAAACCAAAACCUGUGAAUGGCGGCCCGUCAGUAAAUCCAGGAUCCAGUUUCAGAGGGAGGUGUUUAGUCCCAGGCUCCUUAGCUUAUUGAUGAGCUUUGAGGGCAAUAUGGUGUUGAACGCUGAGCUGUAGUCAAUGAAUAGCAUUCUCACAUAGGUGUUCCUUUUGUCCAGGUGGGAGAGGGCAGUGUGGAGUGGAAUAGAGAUUGCAUCAUCUGUGGAUAUGUUGGGGCAGUAUGCAAAUUGGAGUGGGUCUAGGAUUUCUGGGAUGAUGGUGUUGAUGUGAGCCAUGACCAGCCUUUCAAAGCACUUCAAGACGACAGACGUGAUUGCUACGGGUUGGUAGUCAUUUAGGCAGGUUACCUUAGUGUUCUUGGGCACAGGCACUAUGGUGGUCUGCUUAAAACAUGUUGGUAUUACAGACUCGGACAGGAAGAGGUUGAAAAUGUCAGUGAAGACACAUGCUAGUUGGUCAGCGCAUGCUCACAGUACACGUCCUGGUAAUGAGUCUGGCCCUGCGGCCUUGUGAAUGUUGACCUGUCUAAAGGUUUUACUAACAUCGGCUGCGGAGAGCGUGAUCACACUGUCUUCCAGUACAGCUGGUGCUCUCAUGCAUGUUUCAGUGCUAUUUGCCUCGAAGGGAGCAUAGAAGUAGUUUAACUCGUCUGGUAGGCUCGUGUCACUGGGCAUCUCUCGGCUGUGCUUCCCUUUGUAGUCUGUAAUGGUUUGCAAGCCCUGCCACAUCCGAUGAGCGUCAGAGCCAGUGUAGUACGACUCAAUCUUGUCCUGUAUUGAAGCUUUGCCUGUUUGAUGGUUCGUCGGAGAGCAUAGCUGGAUUUCUUAUAAGCUUCCGGUUUAGAGUCCCGCUCUUUGAAAGCGACAGCUCUAGCCUCUAGCUCAGUGUGGAUGUUGCCUGUAAUCCAUGGCUUCUGGUUGGGGUAUGUACGUACGGUCACUGUGGGGACGUGGGGACACACAACAGUGCCUCUUCAGUCUCAGGAGGCUGAAGAUAUUUGGCUUGGCCACUAAGACCCUCACAGAUAUUUACAGAUGCACCAUUGAGAGCAUCAUAUCGGGCUAUAUCACCGCCUGGUACAGCAACUGCAUCGUCCACAAAUGCAGGGCUCACCAGAGUGUAGUGUGCAGUCUGUGCAACACAUCACCGGGGGCACACUGCUUGCCCUCCAGGACGUUUACAGCACCCGGUGUCACAGAAACACCAAGAAGAUCAUCAAGGACCUCGACACCCAAGCCACGGCCUGUUCACCCUUCUAUCAUCCAGGAGGCUAGGCCAGUACAGGUGCAUCAAAGCUGGGACCGAGAGACUGAAAAACAGCUUCUAUAUCAAGGCUAUCAGACUGUUAAAUAGCCAUCACUAGCCUCCACCCAGAACUUAGUGACUAUCACUAGUCGGCUACCACCCGGUUACUCAACCCUGCACUUUAGAGGCUGUUGCCCUAUGUCAAUGGUCAUGGAACACUGGUCACUUAGUAAUGGAACACUGGUCACUUUAAUAAUGGAACACUGGUCACUUUAAUAAUGGAACACUGGUCACUUUAAUAAUGUAACACUGGUCACUUUGAUAAUGGAACACUGGUCACUUUAAUAAUGGAACACUGGUCACUUUAAUAAUGGAACACUGGUCACUUUAAUAAUGGAACACUGGUCACUUUAAUAAUGGAACACUGGUCACUUUAAUAAUGGAACACUGGUCACUUUAAUAAUGGAACACUGGUUACUUUAAUAAUGGAACACUGGUCACUUUAAUAAUGGAACACUGGUCACUUUAAUAAUGGAACACUGGUUACUUUAAUAAUGGAACACUGGUCACUUUAAUAAUGGAACGCUGGUCACUUUAAUAAUGGAACACUGGUCACUUUAAUAAUGGAACACUGGUCACUUUAAUAAUGGAACACUGGUCACUUUAAUAAUGGAACACUGGUCACUUUAAUAAUGGAACACUGGUCACUUUAAUAAUGGAACACUGGUCACUUUAAUAAUGGAACACUGGUCACUUUAAUAAUGGAACACUGGUCACUUUGAUAAUGGAACACUGGUCACUUUAAUAAUGGAACACUGGUCACUUUAAUAAUGGAACACUGGUCACUUUAGUAAUGGAACACUGGUCACUUUAAUAAUGGCACACUGGUCACUUUAAUAAUGGAACACUGGUCACUUUAAUAAUGGAACACUGGUCACUUUGAUAAUGGAACACUGGUCACUUAAAUAAUGGAACACUGGUCACUUUAAUAAUGGAACACUGGUUACUUUAAUAAUGGAACACUGGUCACUUUAAUAAUGGAACACUGGUCACGUUAAUAAUGGGACACUGGUCACUUUAAUAAUGGAACACUGGUCACUUUAAUAAUGGAACACUGGUCACUUUAAUAAUGGAAUGCUGGUCACUUUAAUAAUGGAACACUGGUCACUUUAAUAAUGGAAAACUGGUCACUUUAAUAAUGGAACACUGGUCACUUUAAUAAUGGAACACUGGUCACUUUAAUAAUGAUUUAUGGAUGCUUUAUGGAUGCUAUAUUGAUGCUUUAUGAAUGGGAAAACAGAAAUUACUUUGACCGCAUCAAGUUCAUACAUAGACUUUUAACGUUGGCGUUAUAGAGCGUACUUGCAGAAUGCCCAGUUUAUUACCACGAAGAGCUUAGCUUUACAAAUAGAUCUGACUUAACUUUGACUGCAUAGAAUUCAUAUACGUAGAUCCGUCAUGUAUAGACCCGUAUGUGAUGUUAAUGAGUUAUGAAAGAGUUAUGAUAUAUGACCCACAACAACGCGAUUUGAUCUGUAAAAUGUACCCUGACGUUUCAACCCUGUGGGGGACCCGCCUGCACCAUUGACCUCAGUGAGAAGCAGAAGGUAAGUCACGGGCAUAUACCGGCCGGUGGGGGAAAUUGGGCUGGUAUGGGCUAUAUAUCAGCAUAACUAUUAAAACGUGGUUUUGCCUUUUUGACAUAUUCACUAACACUGGUAUGUAUGGCAGAAGCUCACUUUUGAGAACAGCCAUAUUGAGGUUUACUUUAAGAUACCUAAAUAUGAGCUCUUGCAUAGCAUGACAUGAAUGCGCUAUAGAUAUGUUAUGAAUAUAUUUCAUUAACCUUUAAUGAUGCUGUUGGGACCUGUUAUAACACAUUUAUGACAUGCUUAUAGAUGUGUAAUAAAUGGAUAUGUAGUCUCUCUCUCACACACACACACACACACACACACACACACACACACUUUUUUUUACUUGAAAGAUCUGAUUUAUUACACAGGUCAAAAUGAUACAUUGGAUAUAAAAUGUAAGGAAACAAAAACUGGAACAAAAAGUAACAUAUCAAAUGAUACAGACAGUCCAAUAGUACAGUACAAACCCUUUAUCUUGUCAUUCAACCUUUCUCCCUCUUUAGCUGGUCUCUCUCUCUCUCUUUAGUCGGGUUGUUGUAGCUGGUCUCUCUCUCUCUUUAGUCAGGUUGUUGUAGCUGGUCUCUCUCUUUAGUCAGGUUGUUGUAGCUGGUCUCUCUCUCUUUAGUCAGGUUGUUGUAGCUGGUCUCUCUCUUUAGUCAGGUUGUUGUAGCUGGUCUCUCUCUUUAGUCAGGUUGUUGUAGCUGGUCUCUCUCUCUUUAGUCAGGUUGUUGUAGCUGGUCUCUCUCUUUAGUCAGGUUGUUGUAGCUGGUCUCUCUCUCUUUAGUCAGGUUGUUGUAGCUGGUCUCUCUCUCUUUAGACAGGUUGUUGUAGCUGGUCUCUCUCUCUUUAGUCAGGUUGUUGUAGCUGGUCUCUCUCUCUUUAGACAGGUUGUUGUAGCUGGUCUCUCUCUCUCUAGUCAGGUUGUUGUAGCUGGUCUCUCUCUCUUUAGACAGGUUGUUGUAGCUGGUCUCUCUCUCUCUCUAGUCAGGUUGUUGUAGCUGGUCUCUCUCUCUCUAGUCAGGUUGUUGUAGCUGGUCUCUUUCUCUUUAGUCAGGUUGUUGUAGCUGGUCUCUCGCUCUCUUUAGUCAGGUUGUUGUAGCUGGUCUCUCUCUCUCUCUAGUCAGGUUGUUGUAGCUGGUCUCUCUCUCUCUCUUUAGUCAGGUUGUUGUAGCUGGUCUCUCUCUCUUUAGUCAGGUUGUUGUAGCUGGUCUCUCUCUCUUUAGUCAGGUUGUUGUAGCUGGUCUCUCUCUCUUUAGUCAGGUUGUUGUAGCUGGUCUCUCGCUCUUUAGUCAGGUUGUUGUAGCUGGUCUCUCUUUAGUCAGGUUGUUGUAGCUGGUCUCUCUCUCUCUUUAGUCAGGUUGUUGUAGCUGGUCACUCUCUCUUUAGACAGGUUGUUGUAGCUGGUCUCUCUCUCUUUAGUCAGGUUGUUGUAGCUGGUCUCUCUCUCUUUUUAGUCACGUUGUUGUAGCUGGUCUCUCUUUAGUCAGGUUGUUGUAGCUGGUCUCUCUCUCUUUAGUCAGGUUACUGUAGCUGGUCUCUCUCUCUCUUUAGUCAGGUUGCUAUAGCUGGUCUCUCUCUCUUUAGUCAGGUUGUUGUAGCUGGUCUCUCUCUUUAGUCAGGUUGUUGUAGCUAGUAUCUCUCUCUCUUUAGUCAGGUUGUUGUAGCUGGUCUCUCUCUUUACUCAGGUUGUUGUAGCUGGUCUCUCUCUCCCUUUAGUCAGGUUGUUGUAGCUGGUCUCUCUCUCUUUAGUCAGUUUGUUGUAGCUGGUAUCUCUCUCUCUUUAGUCAGGUUGUUGUAGCUGGUCUCUCUCUUUAGUCAGGUUGUUGUAGCUGGUCUCUCUCUCUUUAGUCAGGUUGUUGUAGCUGGUCUCUCUCUUUAGUCAGGUUGUUGUAGCUGGUCUCUCUCUCUUUAGUCAGGUUGUUGUAGCUGGUCUCUCUCUCUUUAGACAGGUUGUUGUAGCUGGUCUCUCUCUCUCUCUAGUCAGGUUGUUGUAGCUGGUCUCUCUCUCUUUAGACAGGUUGUUGUAGCUGGUCUCUCUCUCUCUCUAGUCAGGUUGUUGUAGCUGGUCUCUCGCUCUCUUUAGUCAGGUUGUUGUAGCUGGUCUCUCUCUCUCUCUAGUCAGGUUGUUGUAGCUGGUCUCUCUCUCUCUCUUUAGGUUGUUGUAGCUGGUCUCUCUCUCUUUAGUCAGGUUGUUGUAGCUGGUCUCUCUCUCUCUUUUGUCAGGUUGUUGUAGCUGGUCUCUCUCUCUUUAGUCAGGUUGUUGUAGCUGGUCUCUCUCUCUUUAGUCAGGUUGUUGUAGCUGGUCUCUCUCUCUCUUUAGUCACGUUGUUGUAGCUGGUCUCUCUUUAGUCAGGUUGUUGUAGCUGGUCUCUCUCUCUUUAGUCAGGUUACUGUAGCUGGUCUCUCUCUCUCUUUAGUCAGGUUGCUAUAGCUGGUCUCUCUCUCUUUAGUCAGGUUGUUGUAGCUGGUCUCUCUCUUUAGUCAGGUUGUUGUAGCUAGUAUCUCUCUCUCUUUAGUCAGGUUGUUGUAGCUGGUCUCUCUCUUUACUCAGGUUGUUGUAGCUGGUCUCUCUCUCCCUUUAGUCAGGUUGUUGUAGCUGGUCUCUCUCUCUUUAGUCAGGUUGUUGUAGCUGGUAUCUCUCUCUCUUUAGUCAGGUUGUUGUAGCUGGUCUCUCUUUAGUCAGGUUGUCGUAGCUGGUAUCUCUCUCUCUUUAGUCAGGUUACUGUAGCUGGUCUCUCUCUCUCUUUAGUCAGGUUGUUGUAGCUGGUCUCUCUCUCUUUAGUCAGGUUGUUGUAGCUGGUCUCUCUCUCUCUAGUCAGGUUGUUGUAGCUGGUCUCUCUCUCUUUAGACAGGUUGUUGUAGCUGGUCUCUCUCUCUCUCUAGUCAGGUUGUUGUAGCUGGUCUCUCUCUCUCUAGUCAGGUUGUUGUAGCUGGUCUCUUUCUCUUUAGUCAGGUUGUUGUAGCUGGUCUCUCGCUCUCUUUAGUCAGGUUGUUGUAGCUGGUCUCUCUCUCUCUCUAGUCAGGUUGUUGUAGCUGGUCUCUCUCUCUCUCUUUAGUCAGGUUGUUGUAGCUGGUCUCUCUCUCUUUAGUCAGGUUGUUGUAGCUGGUCUCUCUCUCUUUAGUCAGGUUGUUGUAGCUGGUCUCUCUCUCUUUAGUCAGGUUGUUGUAGCUGGUCUCUCGCUCUUUAGUCAGGUUGUUGUAGCUGGUCUCUCUUUAGUCAGGUUGUUGUAGCUGGUCUCUCUCUCUCUUUAGUCAGGUUGUUGUAGCUGGUCACUCUCUCUUUAGACAGGUUGUUGUAGCUGGUCUCUCUCUCUUUAGUCAGGUUGUUGUAGCUGGUCUCUCUCUCUUUUUAGUCACGUUGUUGUAGCUGGUCUCUCUUUAGUCAGGUUGUUGUAGCUGGUCUCUCUCUCUUUAGUCAGGUUACUGUAGCUGGUCUCUCUCUCUCUUUAGUCAGGUUGCUAUAGCUGGUCUCUCUCUCUUUAGUCAGGUUGUUGUAGCUGGUCUCUCUCUUUAGUCAGGUUGUUGUAGCUAGUAUCUCUCUCUCUUUAGUCAGGUUGUUGUAGCUGGUCUCUCUCUUUACUCAGGUUGUUGUAGCUGGUCUCUCUCUCCCUUUAGUCAGGUUGUUGUAGCUGGUCUCUCUCUCUUUAGUCAGUUUGUUGUAGCUGGUAUCUCUCUCUCUUUAGUCAGGUUGUUGUAGCUGGUCUCUCUCUUUAGUCAGGUUGUUGUAGCUGGUCUCUCUCUCUUUAGUCAGGUUGUUGUAGCUGGUCUCUCUCUUUAGUCAGGUUGUUGUAGCUGGUCUCUCUCUCUUUAGUCAGGUUGUUGUAGCUGGUCUCUCUCUCUUUAGACAGGUUGUUGUAGCUGGUCUCUCUCUCUCUCUAGUCAGGUUGUUGUAGCUGGUCUCUCUCUCUUUAGACAGGUUGUUGUAGCUGGUCUCUCUCUCUCUCUAGUCAGGUUGUUGUAGCUGGUCUCUCGCUCUCUUUAGUCAGGUUGUUGUAGCUGGUCUCUCUCUCUCUCUAGUCAGGUUGUUGUAGCUGGUCUCUCUCUCUCUCUUUAGGUUGUUGUAGCUGGUCUCUCUCUCUUUAGUCAGGUUGUUGUAGCUGGUCUCUCUCUCUCUUUUGUCAGGUUGUUGUAGCUGGUCUCUCUCUCUUUAGUCAGGUUGUUGUAGCUGGUCUCUCUCUCUUUAGUCAGGUUGUUGUAGCUGGUCUCUCUCUCUCUUUAGUCACGUUGUUGUAGCUGGUCUCUCUUUAGUCAGGUUGUUGUAGCUGGUCUCUCUCUCUUUAGUCAGGUUACUGUAGCUGGUCUCUCUCUCUCUUUAGUCAGGUUGCUAUAGCUGGUCUCUCUCUCUUUAGUCAGGUUGUUGUAGCUGGUCUCUCUCUUUAGUCAGGUUGUUGUAGCUAGUAUCUCUCUCUCUUUAGUCAGGUUGUUGUAGCUGGUCUCUCUCUUUACUCAGGUUGUUGUAGCUGGUCUCUCUCUCCCUUUAGUCAGGUUGUUGUAGCUGGUCUCUCUCUCUUUAGUCAGGUUGUUGUAGCUGGUAUCUCUCUCUCUUUAGUCAGGUUGUUGUAGCUGGUCUCUCUUUAGUCAGGUUGUCGUAGCUGGUAUCUCUCUCUCUUUAGUCAGGUUACUGUAGCUGGUCUCUCUCUCUCUUUAGUCAGGUUGUUGUAGCUGGUCUCUCUCUCUUUAGUCAGGUUGUUGUAGCUGGUCUCUCUCUUUAGUCAGGUUGUUGUAGCUGGUCUCUCUUUAGUCAGGUUGUUGUAGCUGGUAUCUCUCUCUCUCUUUAGUCAGGUUACUGUAGCUUGUCUCUCUCUCUCUUUAGUCAGGUUGUUGUAGCUGGUCUCUCUCUCUUUAGUCAGGUUUUUGUAGCUGGUUUCUCUCUCUUUAGUCAGGUUGUUGUAGCUGGUAUCUCUCUCUCUCUUUAGUCAGGUUACUGUAGCUUGUCUCUCUCUCUCUUUAGUCAGGUUGUUGUAGCUGGUCUCUCUCUCUUUAGUCAGGUUGUUGUAGCUGGUUUCUCUCUCUUUAGUCAGGUUGUUGUAGCUGGUCUCUCUUUAGUCAGGUUGUUGUAGCUGGUCUCUCUCUUUAGUCAGGUUGUUGUAGCUGGUCUCUCUUUUUAGUCAGGUUGUUGUAGCUGGUCUCUCUUUAGUCAGGUUGUUGUGGCUGGUAUCUCUCUCUCUCUUUAGUCAGGUUACUGUAGCUUGUCUCUCUCUCUCUUUAGUCAGGUUGUUGUAGCUGGUCUCUCUCUUUAGUCAGGUUGUUGUAGCUGGUCUCUCUCUUUAGUCAGGUUGUUGUAGCUGGUCUCUCUCUCUUUAGUCAGGUUGUUGUAGCUGGUCUCUCUCUUUAGUCAGGUUGUUGUAGCUGGUCUCUCUCUCUUUAGUCAGGUUGUUGUAGCUGGUCUCUCUCUCUUUAGACAGGUUGUUGUAGCUGGUCUCUCUCUCUUUAGUCAGGUUGUUGUAGCUGGUCUCUCUCUCUUUAGACAGGUUGUUGUAGCUGGUCUCUCUCUCUCUCUAGUCAGGUUGUUGUAGCUGGUCUCUCUCUCUUUAGACAGGUUGUUGUAGCUGGUCUCUCUCUCUCUCUAGUCAGGUUGUUGUAGCUGGUCUCUCUCUCUCUAGUCAGGUUGUUGUAGCUGGUCUCUCUCUCUUUAGUCAGGUUGUUGUAGCUGGUCUCUCGCUCUCUUUAGUCAGGUUGUUGUAGCUGGUCUCUCUCUCUCUCUAGUCAGGUUGUUGUAGCUGGUCUCUCUCUCUCUCUUUAGUCAGGUUGUUGUAGCUGGUCUCUCUCUCUUUAGUCAGGUUGUUGUAGCUGGUCUCUCUCUCUUUAGUCAGGUUGUUGUAGCUGGUCUCUCUCUCUUUAGUCAGGUUGUUGUAGCUGGUCUCUCGCUCUUUAGUCAGGUUGUUGUAGCUGGUCUCUCUUUAGUCAGGUUGUUGUAGCUGGUCUCUCUCUCUCUUUAGUCAGGUUGUUGUAGCUGGUCACUCUCUCUUUAGACAGGUUGUUGUAGCUGGUCUCUCUCUCUUUAGUCAGGUUGUUGUAGCUGGUCUCUCUCUCUUUUUAGUCACGUUGUUGUAGCUGGUCUCUCUUUAGUCAGGUUGUUGUAGCUGGUCUCUCUCUCUUUAGUCAGGUUACUGUAGCUGGUCUCUCUCUCUCUUUAGUCAGGUUGCUAUAGCUGGUCUCUCUCUCUUUAGUCAGGUUGUUGUAGCUGGUCUCUCUCUUUAGUCAGGUUGUUGUAGCUAGUAUCUCUCUCUCUUUAGUCAGGUUGUUGUAGCUGGUCUCUCUCUUUACUCAGGUUGUUGUAGCUGGUCUCUCUCUCCCUUUAGUCAGGUUGUUGUACCUGGUCUCUCUCUCUUUAGUCAGGUUGUUGUAGCUGGUAUCUCUCUCUCUUUAGUCAGGUUGUUGUAGCUGGUCUCUCUCUUUAGUCAGGUUGUUGUAGCUGGUCUCUCUCUCUUUAGUCAGGUUGUUGUAGCUGGUCUCUCUCUUUAGUCAGGUUGUUGUAGCUGGUCUCUCUCUCUUUAGUCAGGUUGUUGUAGCUGGUCUCUCUCUCUUUAGACAGGUUGUUGUAGCUGGUCUCUCUCUCUUUAGUCAGGUUGUUGUAGCUGGUCUCUCUCUCUCUCUUUAGUCAGGUUGUUGUAGCUGGUCUCUCUCUCUUUAGUCAGGUUGUUGUAGCUGGUCUCUCUCUCUUUAGUCAGGUUGUUGUAGCUGGUCUCUCUCUCUCUCUAGUCAGGUUGUUGUAGCUGGUCUCUCUCUCUUUAGACAGGUUGUUGUAGCUGGUCUCUCUCUCUCUCUAGUCAGGUUGUUGUAGCUGGUCUCUCUCUCUCUAGUCAGGUUGUUGUAGCUGGUCUCUCUCUCUUUAGUCAGGUUGUUGUAGCUGGUCUCUCGCUCUCUUUAGUCAGGUUGUUGUAGCUGGUCUCUCUCUCUCUCUAGUCAGGUUGUUGUAGCUGGUCUCUCUCUCUCUCUUUAGUCAGGUUGUUGUAGCUGGUCUCUCUCUCUUUAGUCAGGUUGUUGUAGCUGGUCUCUCUCUCUUUAGUCAGGUUGUUGUAGCUGGUCUCUCUCUCUUUAGUCAGGUUGUUGUAGCUGGUCUCUCUCUCUCUUUAGUCACGUUGUUGUAGCUGGUCUCUCUUUAGUCAGGUUGUUGUAGCUGGUCUCUCUCUCUUUAGUCAGGUUACUGUAGCUGGUCUCUCUCUCUCUUUAGUCAUGUUGCUAUAGCUGGUCUCUCUCUCUUUAGUCAGGUUGUUGUAGCUGGUCUCUCUCUUUAGUCAGGUUGUUGUAGCUAGUAUCUCUCUCUCUUUAGUCAGGUUGUUGUAGCUGGUCUCUCUCUUUACUCAGGUUGUUGUAGCUGGUCUCUCUCUCCCUUUAGUCAGGUUGUUGUAGCUGGUCUCUCUCUCUUUAGUCAGGUUGUUGUAGCUGGUAUCUCUCUCUCUUUAGUCAGGUUGUUGUAGCUGGUCUCUCUUUAGUCAGGUUGUCGUAGCUGGUAUCUCUCUCUCUUUAGUCAGGUUACUGUAGCUGGUCUCUCUCUCUCUUUAGUCAGGUUGUUGUAGCUGGUCUCUCUCUCUUUAGUCAGGUUGUUGUAGCUGGUCUCUCUCUUUAGUCAGGUUGUUGUAGCUGGUCUCUCUUUAGUCAGGUUGUUGUAGCUGGUAUCUCUCUCUCUCUUUAGUCAGGUUACUGUAGCUUGUCUCUCUCUCUCUUUAGUCAGGUUGUUGUAGCUGGUCUCUCUCUCUUUAGUCAGGUUUUUGUAGUUGGUUUCUCUCUCUUUAGUCAGGUUGUUGUAGCUGGUAUCUCUCUCUCUCUUUAGUCAGGUUACUGUAGCUUGUCUCUCUCUCUCUUUAGUCAGGUUGUUGUAGCUGGUCUCUCUCUCUUUAGUCAGGUUGUUGUAGCUGGUUUCUCUCUCUUUAGUCAGGUUGUUGUAGCUGGUCUCUCUUUAGUCAGGUUGUUGUAGCUGGUCUCUCUCUCUUUAGUCAGGUUGUUGUAGCUGGUCUCACUCUCUUUAGUCAGGUUGUUGUAGCUGGUAUCUCUCUCUCUUUAGUCAGGUUGUUGUAGCUGGUCUCUCUUUAGUCAGGUUGUCGUAGCUGGUAUCUCUCUCUCUUUAGUCAGGUUACUGUAGCUGGUCUCUCUCUCUCUUUAGUCAGGUUGUUGAAGCUGGUCUCUCUCUCUCUUUAGUCAGGUUACUGUAGCUGGUCUCUCUCUCGCUUUAGACAGGUUGUUGUAGCUGGUCUCUCUCUUUAGUCAGGUUGUUGUAGCUGGUAUCUCUCUCUCUUUAGUCAGGUUACUGUAGCUUGACUCUCUCUCUCUUUAGUCAGGUUGUUGUAGCUGGUCUCUCUCUCUCUUUAGUCAGGUUGUUGUAGCUGGUUUCUCUCUCUUUAGUCAGGUUGUUGUAGCUGGUCUCUCUCUUUAUUCAGGUUGUUAUAGCUGGUCUCGCUCUCUUUAGUCAGGUUUUUGUAGUUGGUCUCUCUCUCUUUAGUCAGGUUGUUGUAGCUGGUCUCUCUCUCUUUAGUCAGGUUGUUUUAGCUGGUCUCUCUCUUUAGUCAGGUUGUUGUAGCUGGUUUUUCUCUCUGUCUUUAGUCAGGUUGUUUUAGCUGGUCUCUCUCUUCAGUCAGGUUGUUGUAGCUGGUUUCUCUCUCUCUCUUUAGUCAGGUUGUUGUAGCUGGUUUCUCUCUCUUUAGUCAGGUUGUUGUAGCUGGUCUCUCUUUAGUCAGGUUGUUGUAGCUGGUCUCUCUCUCUUUAGUCAGGUUGUUGUAGCUGGUCACUCUCUCUUUAGACAGGUUGUUGUAGCUGGUCUCUCUCUCUUUAGUCAGGUUGUUGUAGCUGGUCUCUCUCUCUCUUUAGUCACGUUGUUGUAGCUGGUCUCUCUUUAGUCAGGUUGUUGUAGCUGGUCUCUCUCUCUUUAGUCAGGUUACUGUAGCUGGUCUCUCUCUCUCUUUAGUCAGGUUGCUAUAGCUGGUCUCUCUCUCUUUAGUCAGGUUGUUGUAGCUGGUCUCUCUCUUUAGUCAGGUUGUUGUAGCUAGUAUCUCUCUCUCUUUAGUCAGGUUGUUGUAGCUGGUCUCUCUCUUUACUCAGGUUGUUGUAGCUGGUCUCUCUCUCCCUUUAGUCAGGUUGUUGUAGCUGGUCUCUCUCUCUUUAGUCAGGUUGUUGUAGCUGGUAUCUCUCUCUCUUUAGUCAGGUUGUUGUAGCUGGUCUCUCUCUUUAGUCAGGUUGUUGUAGCUGGUCUCUCUUUAGUCAGGUUGUUGUAGCUGGUAUCUCUCUCUCUCUUUAGUCAGGUUACUGUAGCUUGUCUCUCUCUCUCUUUAGUCAGGUUUUUGUAGCUGGUUUCUCUCUCUUUAGUCAGGUUGUUGUAGCUGGUCUUCCUCUCUCUUUAGUCAGGUUGUUGUAGCUGGUCUCUCUCUCUUUAGUCAGGUUGUUGUAGCUGGUAUCUCUCUCUCUUUAGUCAGGUUGUUGUAGCUGGUCUCUCUUUAGGCAGGUUGUUGUAGCUGGUAUCUCUCUCUCUUUAGUCAGGUUACUGUAGCUGGUCUCUCUCUCUCUUUAGUCAGGUUGUUGAAGCUGGUCUCUCUCUCUCUUUAGUCAGGUUACUGUAGCUGGUCUCUCUCUCUCUUUAGACAGGUUGUUGUAGCUGGUCUCUCUCUUUAGUCAGGUUGUUGUAGCUGGUCUCUCUUUAGUCAGGUUGUUGUAGCUGGUAUCUCUCUCUCUUUAGUCAGGUUACUGUAGCUUGUCUCUCUCUCUCUUUAGUCAGGUUGUUGUAGCUGGUCUCUCUCUCUUUAGUCAGGUUGUUGUAGCUGGUUUCUCUCUCUUUAGUCAGGUUGUUGUAGCUGGUCUCUCUCUUUAUUCAGGUUGUUAUAGCUGGUCUCGCUCUCUUUAGUCAGGUUUUUGUAGUUGGUCUCUCUCUCUUUAGUCAGGUUGUUGUAGCUGGUCUCUCUCUCUUUAGUCAGGUUGUUUUAGCUGGUCUCUCUCUUUAGUCAGGUUGUUGUAGCUGGUUUUUCUCUCUGUCUUUAGUCAGGUUGUUUUAGCUGGUCUCUCUCUUCAGUCAGGUUGUUGUAGCUGGUUUCUCUCUCUCUCUUUAGUCAGGUUGUUGUAGCUGGUUUCUCUCUUUAGUCAGGUUGUUGUAGCUGGUCUCUCUUUAGUCAGGUUGUUGUAGCUGGUCUCUCUCUCUCUUUAGUCAGGUUGUUGUAGCUGGUCACUCUCUCUUUAGACAGGUUGUUGUAGCUGGUCUCUCUCUCUUUAGUCAGGUUGUUGUAGCUGGUCUCUCUCUCUCUUUAGUCACGUUGUUGUAGCUGGUCUCUCUUUAGUCAGGUUGUUGUAGCUGGUCUCUCUCUCUUUAGUCAGGUUACUGUAGCUGGUCUCUCUCUCUCUUUAGUCAGGUUGCUAUAGCUGGUCUCUCUCUCUUUAGUCAGGUUGUUGUAGCUGGUCUCUCUCUUUAGUCAGGUUGUUGUAGCUAGUAUCUCUCUCUCUUUAGUCAGGUUGUUGUAGCUGGUCUCUCUCUUUACUCAGGUUGUUGUAGCUGGUCUCUCUCUCCCUUUAGUCAGGUUGUUGUAGCUGGUCUCUCUCUCUUUAGUCAGGUUGUUGUAGCUGGUAUCUCUCUCUCUUUAGUCAGGUUGUUGUAGCUGGUCUCUCUCUUUAGUCAGGUUGUUGUAGCUGGUCUCUCUUUAGUCAGGUUGUUGUAGCUGGUAUCUCUCUCUCUCUUUAGUCAGGUUACUGUAGCUUGUCUCUCUCUCUCUUUAGUCAGGUUUUUGUAGCUGGUUUCUCUCUCUUUAGUCAGGUUGUUGUAGCUGGUCUCUCUCUCUCUUUAGUCAGGUUGUUGUAGCUGGUCUCUCUCUCUUUAGUCAGGUUGUUGUAGCUGGUAUCUCUCUCUCUUUAGUCAGGUUGUUGUAGCUGGUCUCUCUUUAGGCAGGUUGUCGUAGCUGGUAUCUCUCUCUCUUUAGUCAGGUUACUGUAGCUGGUCUCUCUCUCUCUUUAGUCAGGUUGUUGAAGCUGGUCUCUCUCUCUCUUUAGUCAGGUUACUGUAGCUGGUCUCUCUCUCUCUUUAGACAGGUUGUUGUAGCUGGUCUCUCUCUUUAGUCAGGUUGUUGUAGCUGGUCUCUCUUUAGUCAGGUUGUUGUAGCUGGUAUCACUCUCUUUAGUCAGGUUACUGUAGCUUGUCUCUCUCUCUCUUUAGUCAGGUUGUUGUAGCUGGUCUCUCUCUCUUUAGUCAGGUUGUUGUAGCUGGUUUCUCUCUCUUUAGUCAGGUUGUUGUAGCUGGUCUCUCUCUUUAUUCAGGUUGUUAUAGCUGGUCUCGCUCUCUUUAGUCAGGUUUUUGUAGUUGGUCUCUCUCUCUUUAGUCAGGUUGUUGUAGCUGGUCUCUCUCUCUUUAGUCAGGUUGUUUUAGCUGGUCUCUCUCUUUAGUCAGGUUGUUGUAGCUGGUUUUUCUCUCUGUCUUUAGUCAGGUUGUUUUAGCUGGUCUCUCUCUUCAGUCAGGUUGUUGUAGCUGGUUUCUCUCUCUUUCUUUAGUCAGGUUGUUGUAGCUGGUCUCUCUCUGUCUUUAGUCAGGUUGUUGUAGCUGGUCUCUCUUCAGUCAGGUUGUUGUAGCUGGUAUCUCUUUAGUCAGGUUUUUGUAGCUGGUCUCUCUCUGCACAGUAAUGCUGACCAUUGACUAAGGGAACAGUGAAUAUUGAAUCAAUGAUUACACCAGUGAUGAUUUCCAAUGCUUCAGUGAGAACAUACUAAACGUACAGUGGACACACAGGCCUAUGAUCCCAGCCAGUAGGGGAACACAUAGCAUCAGACGCAUUGCGGUAUAAGAAUAUUUUGAAGAUAAAUACACAACGCAGAGGAUGAGAGGACUAAAGUCUAGAGUAAUAAUGGUCAAUAGCAAAUUAUAAAUAGGAGUUGGGUUUCAGUUCAACAUCUGUUCAGAAUCUGUGGAUCGUCACUCCUGACCUCAGAGCGACGUGUUCUACGUGGGCCACAUUUUCAUUGGUCUGUACAAUGAGUCUGGAGUGGGAUACUUGUUAUUUGGCCAUUGGCCAAGUUGUCUUGCAAGGACUUCUGAUUGGUCAACUCCAG